rnacentral:rRNA from 1 species
GACGAACGCUGGCGGCGUGCUUAACACAUGCAAGUCGAACGGAAAGGCCCCUUCGGGGGUACUCGAGUGGCGAACGGGUGAGUAACACGUGGGUGAUCUGCCCUGCACUUCGGGAUAAGCCUGGGAAACUGGGUCUAAUACCGGAUAGGACCACGGGAUGCAUGUCCUGUGGUGGAAAGCUUUUGCGGUGUGGGAUGGGCCCGCGGCCUAUCAGCUUGUUGGUGGGGUGACGGCCUACCAAGGCGACGACGGGUAGCCGGCCUGAGAGGGUGUCCGGCCACACUGGGACUGAGAUACGGCCCAGACUCCUACGGGAGGCAGCAGUGGGGAAUAUUGCACAAUGGGCGCAAGCCCGAUGCAGCGACGCCGCGUGGGGGAUGACGGCCUUCGGGUUGUAAACCUCUUUCAGCAGGGACGAAGCGCAAGUGACGGUACCUGCAGAAGAAGCACCGGCCAACUACGUGCCAGCAGCCGCGGUAAUACGUAGGGUGCGAGCGUUGUCCGGAAUUACUGGGCGUAAAGAGCUCGUAGGUGGUUUGUCGCGUUGUUCGUGAAAACCGGGGGCUUAACCCUCGGCGUGCGGGCGAUACGGGCAGACUGGAGUACUGCAGGGGAGACUGGAAUUCCUGGUGUAGCGGUGGAAUGCGCAGAUAUCAGGAGGAACACCGGUGGCGAAGGCGGGUCUCUGGGCAGUAACUGACGCUGAGGAGCGAAAGCGUGGGGAGCGAACAGGAUUAGAUACCCUGGUAGUCCACGCCGUAAACGGUGGGUACUAGGUGUGGGUUUCCUUCCUUGGGAUCCGUGCCGUAGCUAACGCAUUAAGUACCCCGCCUGGGGAGUACGGCCGCAAGGCUAAAACUCAAAGGAAUUGACGGGGGCCCGCACAAGCGGCGGAGCAUGUGGAUUAAUUCGAUGCAACGCGAAGAACCUUACCUGGGUUUGACAUGCACAGGACGCCGGCAGAGAUGUCGGUUCCCUUGUGGCCUGUGUGCAGGUGGUGCAUGGCUGUCGUCAGCUCGUGUCGUGAGAUGUUGGGUUAAGUCCCGCAACGAGCGCAACCCUUGUCUCAUGUUGCCAGCGGGUAAUGCCGGGGACUCGUGAGAGACUGCCGGGGUCAACUCGGAGGAAGGUGGGGAUGACGUCAAGUCAUCAUGCCCCUUAUGUCCAGGGCUUCACACAUGCUACAAUGGCCGGUACAAAGGGCUGCGAUGCCGCGAGGCUUAGCGAAUCCUUUUAAAGCCGGUCUCAGUUCGGAUCGGGGUCUGCAACUCGACCCCGUGAAGUCGGAGUCGCUAGUAAUCGCAGAUCAGCAACGCUGCGGUGAAUACGUUCCCGGGCCU